AACGCAUAUUGCGCCCUUUGGUAUUCCGAAGGGCAUGCCUGUUCGAGCGUCAUUAUCAACCCUCAAGCCUGGCUUGUCAUUGAACCUCUGGUCGUUAAAAGACAGGUUCGAAAGAUAAUGACGGUGUCGCGAUCGACCCUAGAUGCAACGAGCUUCACAGCACGCAUGUUAGUGGCCGGCCGGCCCCGGUCUUAACCCUAUUUCAAUGGUUGACCUCGGAUCAGGUAGGAAUACCCGCUGAACUUAA
rnacentral:misc_RNA from 1 species